rnacentral:tRNA from 1 species
CCUCUCGUAGUGUAGGGGUAACGCACUCUAUCUAGUGCCCAUGGAGUCGUGAGUUCGAUUCUCACCGAGAAGA